rnacentral:rRNA from 1 species
AUACGUAGGUGGCGAGCGUUGUCCGGAUUUACUGGGCGUAAAGGGAGCGUAGGCGGACUUUUAAGUGAGAUGUGAAAUACCCGGGCUCAACUUGGGUGCUGCAUUUCAAACUGGAAGUCUAGAGUGCAGGAGAGGAGAAUGGAAUUCCUAGUGUAGCGGUGAAAUGCGUAGAGAUUAGGAAGAAUACCAGUGGCGAAGGCGACUUUCUGGGCUUAUACUGACGCUGAGGAACGAAAGCGUGGGGAGC